rnacentral:rRNA from 1 species
GACGAACGCUGGCGGCGCGCUUAACACAUGCAAGUCGAACGGAAAGGCCUGCUUUCCCUUGUGGAUUGCGGGUACUCGAGUGGCGAACGGGUGAGUAACACGUGAGUGAUCUGCCCCCAACUUGGGUAUAAGCCUGGGAAACUGGGUCUAAUUCCCGAUAGGACUGCAGGGUGGUGCCUGUGGUGGAAAACGAUUUUCUAGUGGUUGGGGAUGAGCUCGCGGCCUAUCAGCUUGUUGGUGGGGUAAUGGCCUACCAAGGCGGCGACGGGUAGCCGGCCUGAGAGGGUGGACGGCCACAUUGGGACUGAGAUACGGCCCAGACUCCUACGGGAGGCAGCAGUGGGGAAUAUUGCACAAUGGGCGGAAGCCUGGUGCAGCGACGCCGCGUGGGGGAUGACGGCCUUCGGGUUGUAAACUCCUUUCGACCGCGAGGAAGCCACCUGGUUGGAAGGGUGGUGACGGUAGUGGUAGAAGAAGCACCGGCUAACUACGUG